UGCAAGUCGAGCGGUAGAGAGAAGCUUGCUUCUCUUGAGAGCGGCGGACGGGUGAGUAAUGCCUAGGAAUCUGCCUGGUAGUGGGGGAUAACGUUCGGAAACGAACGCUAAUACCGCAUACGUCCUACGGGAGAAAGCAGGGGACCUUCGGGCCUUGCGCUAUCAGAUGAGCCUAGGUCGGAUUAGCUAGUUGGUGAGGUAAUGGCUCACCAAGGCGACGAUCCGUAACUGGUCUGAGAGGAUGAUCAGUCACACUGGAACUGAGACACGGUCCAGACUCCUACGGGAGGCAGCAGUGGGGAAUAUUGGACAAUGGGCGAAAGCCUGAUCCAGCCAUGCCGCGUGUGUGAAGAAGGUCUUCGGAUUGUAAAGCACUUUAAGUUGGGAGGAAGGGCAUUAACCUAAUACGUUGGUGUCUUGACGUUACCGACAGAAUAAGCACCGGCUAACUCUGUGCCAGCAGCCGCGGUAAUACAGAGGGUGCAAGCGUUAAUCGGAAUUACUGGGCGUAAAGCGCGCGUAGGUGGUUUGUUAAGUUGGAUGUGAAAGCCCCGGGCUCAACCUGGGAACUGCAUUCAAAACUGACAAGCUAGAGUAUGGUAGAGGGUGGUGGAAUUUCCUGUGUAGCGGUGAAAUGCGUAGAUAUAGGAAGGAACACCAGUGGCGAAGGCGACCACCUGGACUGAUACUGACACUGAGGUGCGAAAGCGUGGGGGAGCAAACAGGAUUAGAUACCCUGGUAGUCCACGCCGUAAACGAUGUCAACUAGCCGUUGGGAGCCUUGAGCUCUUAGUGGGCGCANCUAACGCAUUAAGUUGACCGCCUGGCGGAGUACGGCCGCAAGGUUAAAACUCAAAUGAAUUGACGGGGGCCCGCACAAGCGGGUGGAGCAUGUGGUUUAAUUCGAACCAACGCGAAAAUCUUACCAGGCCUUGACAUCCAAUGAACUUUCCAGAGAUGGAUUGGUGCCUUCGGGAACAUUUGAGACAGGUGCUGCAUGGCUGUCGUCAGCUCGUGUCGUGAG
rnacentral:rRNA from 1 species